rnacentral:rRNA from 1 species
AUGAACGCUAGCUACAGGCUUAACACAUGCAAGUCGAGGGGCAGCGGGAUUGAAGCUUGCUUCAAUUGCCGGCGACCGGCGCACGGGUGAGUAACGCGUAUCCAACCUUCCGUACACUCAGGGAUAGCCUUUCGAAAGAAAGAUUAAUACCUGAUGGUAUGAUGAGAUUGCAUGAUAGCAUCAUUAAAGAUUUAUCGGUGUACGAUGGGGAUGCGUUCCAUUAGGUAGUAGGCGGGGUAACGGCCCACCUAGCCAACGAUGGAUAGGGGUUCUGAGAGGAAGGUCCCCCACAUUGGAACUGAGACACGGUCCAAACUCCUACGGGAGGCAACAGUGAGGAAUAUUGGUCAAUGGACGAGAGUCUGAACCAGCCAAGUAGCGUGAAGGAUGAAGGUCCUACGGAUUGUAAACUUCUUUUAUAAGGGAAUAAACCCUCCCACGUGUGGGAGCUUGUAUGUACCUUAUGAAUAAGCAUCGGCUAACUCCGUGCCAGCAGCCGCGGUAAUACGGAGGAUGCGAGCGUUAUCCGGAUUUAUUGGGUUUAAAGGGAGCGCAGACGGGUCGUUAAGUCAGCUGUGAAAGUUUGGGGCUCAACCUUAAAAUUGCAGUUGAUACUGGCGUCCUUGAGUGCGGUUGAGGUGUGCGGAAUUCGUGGUGUAGCGGUGAAAUGCUUAGAUAUCACGAAGAACUCCGAUUGCGAAGGCAGCACACUAAUCCGUAACUGACGUUCAUGCUCGAAAGUGUGGGUAUCAAACAGGAUUAGAUACCCUGGUAGUCCACACGGUAAACGAUGGAUACUCGCUGUUGGCGAUAUACUGUCAGCGGCUUAGCGAAAGCGUUAAGUAUCCCACCUGGGGAGUACGCCGGCAACGGUGAAACUCAAAUGAAUUGACGG